GACGAACGCUGGCGGCGUGCUUAACACAUGCAAGUCGAACGCUGAAGCCCUUUCGGGGGUGGAUGAGUGGCGAACGGGUGAGUAACACGUGGGUAAUCUGCCCUGCACUAUGGGAUAAGCCUUGGAAACGGGGUCUAAUACCGGAUAGGACACAUCGCCGCAUGGUGUGUGUGUGGAAAGUUCCGGCGGUGCAGGUUGAGCCCGCGGCCUAUCAGCUUGUUGGUGGGGUGACGGCCUACCAAGGCGACGACGGGUAGCCGGCCUGGGAGGGUGACCGGCCACACUGGGACAGAGACACGGCCCAGAGUCCGACGGGAGGCAGCAGUGGGGAAUCGUGCGCAAUGGGCGAAAGCCUGACGCAGCAACGCCGCGUGGGGGAUGACGGCCUUCGGGUUGUAAACCUCUUUCGACCGGGACGAAGGGUGACUGACGGUACCGGUAGAAGAAGCACCGGCUAACUACGUGCCAGCCGCCGCCGUAA
rnacentral:rRNA from 1 species